UACGAAGGGUGCAAGCGUUACUCGGAAUUACUGGGCGUAAAGCGUGCGUAGGUGGUUCGUUAAGUCUGAUGUGAAAGCCCCGGGCUCAACCUGGGAACUGCAUUGGAUACUGGCGAUCUGGAGUGCGGUAGAGGGUGGCGGAAUUCCCGGUGUAGCAGUGAAAUGCGUAGAUAUCGGGAGGAACAUCCGUGGCGAAGGCGGCCACCUGGACCAGCACUGACACUCAGGUGCGACAGCGUGGGGAGCAAACAGG
rnacentral:rRNA from 1 species